CCACCCGUAGCUCAACUGGCAGAGCAGCUCCCUCUUAAGGAGAUGGUUGAAGGUUCGACUCCUUCCGGGUGGA
rnacentral:tRNA from 1 species